ACUUUGUUAAAGUAGAUUACUCUCCAUAAUGUAGGUCGACCUCAUCCAAUCAGUCGAAGGCCUUAGUAGAACAGAGUCUGACCUCCCUCAGCAAGAAGGAAUUCUGCCAAAAGAUUGCCUUUAGACUAGGACUGCAACUCUCCCCUGGGUCUCCAGCCUGCCAGCCUACCUUAAGGAUUUUGGACUUACCGAAGACUGAAAGCCUCCACAGUCAUAGGGACUCAUCCCUUUCUUCUGAUAAUAGAACCCCACUUUCCUAUGGAUAACCCAUUUCAUAUGGUUCAGGAGAGCACAUGACUAGUCCUGGCCAAUGAAAAAAACUCUUGCCCCAGGACAGAGUGAUUGGAUCAGAAAUGACCAUGUGGCCCAAACCUGGCUAAUCCAUCCCAACGUGAAGGCUUUUCCAUGAGAAAAUUAAGAUUGAGAAAGGUUAAGUGACAUGAAAAUCACAUAUUCAGGAAGUUGGUGAUCCUGGAUUCCAAUCCAUAUCUUUCUGAUGCAGAAACCUGAGUUUUUAACCACUCUGCUAUAUGGGACAAAAAUGAGCUGCUUUUCAACCAAUCUAAGCUGUGCUUAAGGAAACUGACCAUGCCAUUGAGAAUUUAGGUGAGACUGGUAAUCCUAGUCAUGGUGUUUUGCAUAAGGAAGAUGCCAUCAACACAAGGAGAGGAAGACUGAGAAAGAAACACCCAUUCUAGGUCUGGCUGAUUAGGAGGUGCUACAGACAGUAGAAGGAAGCAGAGUGAGCAGGAGAAGCUUCAAGCCCGCUGCUCUCACUGCCUCUACCCAACCUCAAAGCACAGACUCCUGGAAAUCGAGCUGACACAAACCUGUGAGGAGUGGAAAUACCUAUCCUGGAAGGAUGGAAAAGAAGAGAGAGCAUUUUGUCCAAACCUGGGUGGAUUUGGUAGCUUGUUUCCAAGAUGGCCACCAUCAGUUUCUUCCCCUCCCUCUCAUUGUUCCUGAAGUGGAUUUUCAGAAGAGCUGAUCCAUUGGUUAGCCAAAGACCUCUGGCUUCAUGGAAAUAUAUAAGCUUGACCAGAUAGAUUCCUCUUACUGCCAAUUUGGAGUCAUGAGAAAGAUGAGUGAGCAGAGGAAAUGGCAAUGAGAAAAAGAAACCCAAAGGAGCAGACAUGAGACAGAGAAGAGACCACAAAGCCUCUGAAAGACUGAAGUUGGUUUUCCAGUUCUAGGUGACAUGAGACCUAGCUGAAUGCCUUUAGGUGUCCUUGUAUUCCAUGAGACCUCUGAAUACCUAGAAUAGCCCCAUUCCCCAUUGAUGUGAGCUUUUUAGUGGGCCUCUGUUCUUGCAACCUUGAAAAGAAAAGUACGGUUGCUCACAGAAUGUGAUGAAUAAUUGUGUUACAAAGCAUUUACAAUGGGGAUCUGCCUCCUCACCUGGUUUUAUUAAUAGCCUGGCCUCUCUGAAGUAGCUCCUGGGUCUUUUAUCAGUAUUUUGUUGCUUAUCUUGUGGAUAAGAAUUACACAGAGAAGAAGGUAUUUGGACUCAUAUCACACUAUCUUAACUUGGGUAAACAUUGUCUUUAAUCAGUUGAAUUCCCUUAAAGGGAUGGAAACUAACAUUUAAGUACAUUGCAUGUGCAAAGAUCUCUAUGUCAUUAGUUCUUCAAUCCUCACAGCUUUAUAAGGUUCAGACUCAGGGAGGUCCAUUGACUUGCUCAGUGAUCAAAGUUAGAAAAUGGUAAUGUUUAUGCACAAUCCAGGCCUCUAUUCAAGAGUUCAAAACUCUUUCAACUAGACCAGUGACUCACAAAAUGUGGUACACUGAUCAAAUAUGCUAUCCAAGAUUAUUUUAAAUACAUUAUGAAAAAACAUUUUUAAAGUUUAAAAUUACACAUUUAUUUUAGUAUACAUUAGAAAAAUAAUGAGAAUCGAGUUUUAUGAACAUAUGUAUAUACAUGUAUACAGUAAAUAAUAGUACAGAUGGCAUGUAGAUAUGGUAAAAAUCUUAGAGAUGAUCAAAGUUUUAAACCCUCAUCAUAUCAAGUUCAUGUGAAAUUACAAACAACAUCUUGAAAAUCUCUUAAAAGUGAUCCAGUGGCCACGUUAAGUUCAAGAUUUGGAUGUAAACCAAAUAUUUUAAGAAAGAGUAGGUCUGUAGCAGUCUAUCUACAUAUUAUGAUAGAAGACAUAGAAGACGUUGCAUUUUUUUCCUAGAUCUCACUAGUGUCAUUGCUGUUCAAGAUAUUAAAAUAUAAAAAUAUGAUAUUUUUCUACCUCUUAUACGUGUGCAUUAAAAUUUUUGAGUAAUCAUAUAAGCAAACACUGUAAACUAUUCUAAUGUUUUAACAAAUGCUAUAAAGACAAG